rnacentral:rRNA from 3 species
UCUUGACCUCGGAUCAGGUAGGGAUACCCGCUGAACUUAAGCAUAUCAA